rnacentral:rRNA from 1 species
GACGAACGCUGGCGGCGUGCUUAACACAUGCAAGUCGAACGGAAAGGCCCUGCUUUUGUGGGGUGCUCGAGUGGCGAACGGGUGAGUAACACGUGAGUAACCUGCCCUUGACUUUGGGAUAACUUCAGGAAACUGGGGCUAAUACCGGAUAGGAGCUCCUGCUGCAUGGUGGGGGUUGGAAAGUUUCGGCGGUUGGGGGUGGACUCGCGGCUUAUCAGCUUGUUGGUGGGGUAGUGGCUUACCAAGGCUUUGACGGGUAGCCGGCCUGAGAGGGUGACCGGCCACAUUGGGACUGAGAUACGGCCCAGACUCCUACGGGAGGCAGCAGUGGGGAAUAUUGCACAAUGGGCGGAAGCCUGAUGCAGCAACGCCGCGUGCGGGAUGACGGCCUUCGGGUUGUAAACCGCUUUCGCCUGUGACGAAGCGUGAGUGACGGUAAUGGGUAAAGAAGCACCGGCUAACUACGUGCCAGCAGCCGCGGUGAUACGUAGGGUGCGAGCGUUGUCCGGAUUUAUUGGGCGUAAAGGGCUCGUAGGUGGUUGAUCGCGUCGGAAGUGUAAUCUUGGGGCUUAACCCUGAGCGUGCUUUCGAAUACGGGUUGACUUGAGGAAGGUAGGGGAGAAUGGAAUUCCUGGUGGAGCGGUGGAAUGCGCAGAUAUCAGGAGGAACACCAGUGGCGAAGGCGGUUCUCUGGGCCUUUCCUGACGCUGAGGAGCGAAAGCGUGGGGAGCGAACAGGCUUAGAUACCCUGGUAGUCCACGCUGUAAACGGUGGGUACUAGGUGUGGGGUCCAUUCCACGGGUUCCGUGCCGUAGCUAACGCUUUAAGUACCCCGCCUGGGGAGUACGGCCGCAAGGCUAAAACUCAAAGGAAUUGACGGGGCCCCGCACAAGCGGCGGAGCAUGCGGAUUAAUUCGAUGCAACGCGUAGAACCUUACCUGGGUUUGACAUGGAUCGGGAGUGCUCAGAGAUGGGUGUGCCUCUUUUGGGGUCGGUUCACAGGUGGUGCAUGCCUGUCGUCAGCUCGUGUCGUGAGAUGUUGGGUUAAGUCCCGCAACGAGCGCAACCCUUGUUCACUGUUGCCAGCACGUUAUGGUGGGGACUCAGUGGAGACCGCCGGGGUCAACUCGGAGGAAGGUGGGGAUGACGUCAAGUCAUCAUGCCCCUUAUGUCCAGGGCUUCACGCAUGCUACAAUGGCUGGUACAGAGAGUGGCGAGCCUGUGAGGGUGAGCGAAUCUCGGAAAGCCGGUCUCAGUUCGGAUUGGGGUCUGCAACUCGACCUCAUGAAGUCGGAGUCGCUAGUAAUCGCAGAUCAGCAACGCUGCGGUGAAUACGUUCCCGGGGCU